rnacentral:other from 1 species
GGUUACCUGAAGUGUGCGCCAGUAUCCCAUUUUUACCCACAUUUCACAAAACGGAGCUCGCGUUCGACCAUUGGAUGCCAUGCCCCCGCGUUACUGUGUCAGGGGAAGGCAGAAGGUGGCGGUAGAGCACCGGCCUGCUUUACAUAGCGGGUGAAAAAAUGGGGUGCAGCGGCACUUUGGGGCUUGA